UUUCCGUAGGUGAACCUGCGGAAGGAUCAUUAUCGAAUUUCGAGGGGAAGGAAGAUGAGGAGUGGAGACUGUCGCUGGCUUUCCCGCCUGGGGAGCAUGUGAACGCCUUGCUUUUCGUUGACCUUUCUCUUACUCUCACACCUGUGCACCCAUUGUAGGUCCUCGAAAGAGGAUCUAUGCUUUUAUCAUCACACGCAUCGUAUGUCCAUAGAAUGUAACAUGAUCGUCGAUCGACCUCGCGGUCGGGUGGCGGUCUAAAUAAAUAAAUACAACUUUCAGCAACGGAUCUCUUGGCUCUC
rnacentral:misc_RNA from 1 species